GAACGCAGCAAGAGGCUGUGGAUCCCCGCGAGUUCAGCGUAGACAACAUUCUCAGAGUGUUUUCGCAGAGAGCUACUCGUGACGAAUUCUUGGAAGAGGCCAGCGACGAGGAAGACGAGGCGAAGCGA
rnacentral:snRNA from 1 species